CCCUUAGAUGUUCUGGGCCGCACGCGCGCUACACUGAUGCAUUCAACGAGUCUAAAACCUGCUCUGGUAGGGGUGGGUAAUCUUUUGAAUGUGCAUCGUGAUUGGGAUAGAUGAUUGCAAUUUUUCAUCUUCAACGAGGAAUGCCUAGUAAACGCAAGUCAUCAGCUUGCAUUGAUUACGUCCCUGCCCUUUGUACACACCGCCCGUCGCUCCUACCGAUUGAAUGAUCCGAUGAAUAUCAUGGAUUGAGGAUGCAAGUAGGUUAGCCUAUCUUCAUCUUCGAGAAGUGAAGUAAAUCUUAUCAUUUAGAGGAAGGAGAAGUCGUAACA
rnacentral:rRNA from 1 species